rnacentral:rRNA from 1 species
AUACAGAGGGUGCAAGCGUUAAUCGGAAUUACUGGGCGUAAAGCGCGCGUAGGUGGUUAGUUAAGUUGGAUGUGAAAGCCCUGGGCUCAACCUGGGAAUGGCAUUCAAAACUGGCUGACUAGAGUAUGGUAGAGGGAAGGGGAAUUCCAGGUGUAGCGGUGAAAUGCGUAGAUAUCUGGAGGAACAUCAGUGGCGAAGGCGCCUUCCUGGACUAAUACUGACACUGAGGUGCGAAAGCGUGGGUAGCAAACAGGAGUAGAAACCCCAGUAGUCC